CCCAUCUUGAUGAUAAUGGACUCAACCUCUGAACCUAGUCACGGUAGGAGCCCUCAGCUCCCUGCUCCUGGAGCUAUGCCACAACAUCAUGGACUCUAAACCCUCUGAAACGGUCAGUACCUCUCCCAUCAGAGGGGACACACCAGGGAAUCAGGAACUGGAAGCAGCUGGUUACAAUGUAUCCAUAAUCAGAAGGCAGAAAGUAAGGAACACCCGCUGCUGUUCAUCUCUUCCUUUGUACCACCCAAACUCAGAGUCAGGGAGCUUGAUACUUAUUCUCGCCCGAGACCCUAGUCCCAGGUUCUAGAUUCUGACGGUUAACACUAACCACCACAGGGUCUCUCAUCUGUAUCUCAGACUGGCUUCGAACUUGAUCCUCCUGCUUCCUCAGCCUCCCAAGUGCUAAGAUUCCAGACCUGUACCGCCACGGCCAGCUUCACACUUUAUCAUAAAACCUGGCGUUGUGUUAGAUGAUGUCACCCGCUGUCGGCUGACGUCAAUGUUCUGAGCACACUCAAGGUCAGCUGGGCUAAGCUACAAUGUCAGUGUCCUUGGGGGAUUAAAUGCGGUUUUUUGACUUAACGAUGUUUUCAUCUUGUGAUCGACUUACUGGGACUGUGGCUCUAGAGCUAAGUCAAGGAACGGUGGACACGUCCUGCCAACGAAGAAGGAGCCUUGUAUCACCUCCAGGGCUCAUCUGGAUAAACCAAGGCUCAAAGAGAGAAGUGAUUCUAUUCUAUGUGUGUGCUGAUGACUGGGACACCGGACUCCCCCACUUUCGAGUGGCCUCUGUGAUCCUAGUAGGGAAACUGAGGCAGAGUGGCGAGUUCAGAGCCAGCCUGAGCAGCAGAACAGACUCAGAUCUCCAGUCUUUCAUGGUUUCUCACAGCCCCUCCAGCUGGCAGGGAGGCCACCAUCUUGAUCUGUUCCCCAACCUGUCAUGAAGUGCUACGUACGCACCACGAAUGGCUGGCUGCAUCUUUGCAGUGAACAAGGAAAUGUGAUUUGCAACCAGAACUUGAGAAGUCAAGCUGCCGCCACUCUGCACGGGCCUGGAUAGGGAGGCCCCCUUCAGGAAGGCAGAAUGAUGGCAGAAAUCUCCUUCACAACAGCUCUACAUACAACAGGUGAAUUUUACCUAUAGACUCUUGGUUUAACCCCUUUGGGGUCUCCAUGGCUCCUGCUUUUUGUGCAAAUGCUCCCCCAAGAGCCUCCUGACUUCUCACUGGAUGGUACGGAUCCUCUCCACCCUACCUAUUCAGUGGCCUCUAGGCCCUUCUGUCUUGAAGGCGGAGAGUUGCAAACUGGAUCAGGCUUCCCUGGGGCUGGAACUGGACGCUGGAUGGAGACGCUGACUCCUCAUGGACUCAAAAAAGGGAGAUUCUGCGUACAUGCCCCUUUAACAGAUAAGGAAGCAGGGCUUGGGGGACUUAGCCCAAGGGCACGCGCUUAUACCCUAGCCCCUCUAGCUUCCUUUGAGCUCCUGGAUGGUGUCUUUCCUGCUCUGAGAGCUUUGCCUAUGUCAUAGUGGGUGGGUAGAAAACCUUACCGCCUCCUCUGAGCCAGCUUUAAUCAUCCUCCAGGUCUGACCGAACUUUCCAGGUCUCCCCUGCACCGAAGCAUUCAAUGGCAUGACACCCGGAGAGACCCUCCAUGAGCCAGCUCUCCUCAGUCACACAUGUCCUAAGCCUUGUGGAGUGGCCCUGAUGCCCACCCUCACUUUACAGACGAGGCUCUGAGACAGAGACAUCAACAGCACUUGCCCCAUGACACAGAGCUAAUGGUCAAAUGUUUACCUUGGGUCCUGUGAGUGUGUGAUC
rnacentral:sRNA from 1 species